rnacentral:lncRNA from 1 species
GUCUUAUUUCAGUCUCCUGAGGUGAAGUAUGAUAGGUCUUUCCCCUGUGUGUUUUUGUAGCCCAGACACAUUUGUCCGUUCUGGAGGAUAGCCAGGUCACAGGCAGCACAUGCAUUUACAGUCCGUCUUGACUUUAGACUGACCUUGGUGUUCUGGAGCGGAAAGAUAAUUAUGUCACUGUGAACACCAAAAAGGCAAGCUACCCUAGCCAAGGGUAUUGUGGGUAUGGUGGCAUCUCCAGCUCUGUAUUUAUUGGUUUUGUGGGUUUGAGACAGACCCUAAAUGCUAUUUUCUGUUCUUUAAAAGGACAGAAGUCUGAAGUUUUAUUGUGAAGAUUGGUUUUCUCUUUCCCUUCUAUCCAAAAAUCCCACAACCUCUAGUAAUCAAGCAAAAAAAAAGAAAGAAGAAAGACAAAAGGAAGGAAGGAAGGAAGGAAGGAAGAAAGAAAGGAAGGAGGAAAGAAAGAAAGAAAGAAAGAAAGAAAGAAAGAAAGAAAGGAAGGAAGGAAGGAAGGAAGGAAGGAAGGAAGGAAGGAAGACUGGGUCCUUUCAGAUGAUCAAUUCAUAAAUAUUUUAAAUACACCUUCCAUGAAAGUAGGGCUUUGGCUUUAUUUAAAAAAAAAAAAAAAGAUAGUCACUUGUCUUCUAUCCAACAUCUCCUAUGUGAAGUAUUUAUAGAAGGUGUGUUACUCUUUCAGGCCACUGGGGCAUUACUGUGGCUGUCUCACACUAGCAAGGUCUCCCAGACUCUGGAAACAGCUCCCAUCACUCACCACACACCUGCCACACUAGCUGGGAAUGACUUAGGCCCUGUGGAAAGUCUGACUCACUCAACAUAAUGAAUGUGACUGCCAUUAUUGAGUUGGAGAGCAGCCGAGGAGAAGGGAUAGGUUUAUGGUACGCACUGAAAAUCUGUAGAGUCAGGUUUUAUUGGACUAGUCAGGAAUGGGAAUUCCAGAGAGCAAAGCCUUUCAGCAUAGUUGUGGUAGGAGUGUAUGUAUGGCCCAGUGAGUGUCCACUUUAGCUGCUCUGGGUCUUUGACUAUCACUGUGCCAUUUCCUUCUUUAAAAGAUCAACUUUGAGUACCUCACAGUGAGUAUUGUCACCCGUGUUUCUUCUACUUGAAAUAUUUGGGUGCUAAUGGGUUGCAUUAGGCAAACCUUGCCUGAGAUUAUGUUAUAUCUCCAAGAAAAUACUUACGAUAUUUAUGUCAAGUGUUGCUAAGUAAUAUUUAUUAUUAACACCUUUGGAAAAUAACUGGCACACUUGAGAGUAUAAAACUUAGGCAUAAAAUGGACAGAGAGGAUGUGCUGUGAGGUGCCCUUCCUCUUUUCGCAUAUCUUAAGAAGGUCACAUGUGAGGAAUUAAGGAAAUUAAAACCAUUGCAGAUUUAAAACUAGGAAUUUUAAUCACUGUAUUUUUUUUUUGAUAGCAAGUAUUUCUUUGUUGAAUUCACUUAUAUUUCAUUAUGAAGCAAAGACAAACUCUGAGGUAAUUUAUAAAUAAUGAUAAUCAUAUGAGGACCAAUGGUUGUUUUCUCAUACAUUUAUAUCUCUGCAUUCUUUUUAGUCAGGCCAAACACGCUUCAAAGUUUAAUGUUCGUUCAACUCUUAGCAGGCUUCACACAGGAAGACACUAAUGAGAUAUGUCUAUUAUUGUUAAAGCAUGAUGCCUUACGACUCUAUUCUCUUGUUCCUUAUGAAUAUUUAAUUAGUAGUAUUUAAAGACAGGAUCUCUAGCUAGUCCCCUGGAAUGGAAUGAACUGUGUCACCCAAGUUGGCCUUGAACUCCCAGGUUCUCUUUCUGGCAUUCAAGAGCUGAGAUUACAGGCUUGAGCCACCAUGCCCAGCUGUUAUUAUUCUUAAUUGUGGCUUGAGAUGUCAUUGAAGUUCUUCCAAGUUUCCAUGUUUGUUUCCAAACUGACUUUCUAGCUUUCCGUAAAAAACAAAAC